AAUUUCAGAGGCAAAUUUUAGUUC
rnacentral:siRNA from 1 species